UCGCACAUUUUGUUGUCUGAUUAUUGAUUUAUGGCGAAACCAUUUGAUCAUAUGACAAGAUGUGUAUCUA
rfam:Rattus norvegicus chromosome 14, whole genome shotgun sequence.